CACCCUGAGGACUGGCAGUAUCUUAUCCAGUGAUGUUUAUCUGAGGCAUGAUUAUUGCUGAUUGAAAACUUUCCCCAAUACCCUGCCAUGACAGCAUGUGAAAUACAGCUAUGUAGCCAGAAGUGGCAAUUUUUGACAGUCUCUAAAGAGA
rnacentral:snRNA from 1 species